UCAGUGCACUACAGAACUUUGU
rnacentral:miRNA from 39 species